rnacentral:lncRNA from 1 species
CAGCCCUUCACUGGAACACACACACACACGCACAUGCAUGUACACACACAUACACACACAUGCAUGCACACAUCACUCUGCACAUACCACACCACACACACGCGCACACACAUACCACUCUGCACAGACUCUGAGCAGUCCGAAAGUCCCCGUGGACCCUUUGGUUCACACAGCCCUGGAGGGGAUGGGGAAGGACCCACCUAGCCUUGCAGAGGCAGAAUGACUCUUGCCAGUCAGGAAUUCCUACAGCGGGUUGCAUCAUUCACAUAACAUUAGCAGCCAUCAAAGGCUAAAGAGCAGCCCCCAAAAAGGAGAGGCUCAGUGGCCACAAUGGCUGUGGCCCUCACUUCCGCACUGUGCAGAGGGCCCUAGGGGCCCUGGCCUCCGGGCCUGAGCUCAAGGCCACCACGGUAGUGUCCCAUCAGAAACGUAUGACAUCCUGCUGCUCCUGCUCCGUCCUGAGGUGGCACCCCCCAGUUUUCUGGGUGUACACAUCCAUCUAAGCUUGGCUGGUGGGCGUCUGCCCAGAUGAGGGGGCCAAGGACCCAACUCUGCACAACAGCAAAUGCAUUCAGGGAGGGCCACUGGGACCUCCAGGAGCUGCUGAGAUACCACCCAAGUCCCAGGCGUGUGCAGGACUCAUGGGGCCAGAGGCAUAAUUUCACUCUUGUUGCCCAGGCUGGAGUGCAAUGGUGUGUGUGAUCUCAGCUCACUGCAACCUCCACCUCCCCGGUUCAAGCAAUUCUCCUGCCUCAACCUCCCAAGUAGCUGCUAUUACAGAGACGGGGUUACACUAUGUUGUCUAGGCUGGUCUUGAACUCCCGGCCUUAAGUGAUCCACCCACCUCGGUCUCCCAAAGUGUUGGGAUUACAGGUGUAAGCUACUGCAACAGAUGCAGCUGGAAUCAAAGUCCCACCAAGGGGAGGAGACAGGGACCCCAAAGGCACCUGCUAUCUUUAUCAAUAGAGAACAGACAAUAAUGGGACACCAGUGCUGUGGAAUGGUGUGCAGGCGUUUGAAGGAGGGAGGUCAGGCCACACAGGCUGUCCUGGAAAGGCAUCCAGGCAAGUCUAGAAUGAAGAAGAAUUACAACCACACCUGACACACAGCCAAGAAGAGCCCAGCCACAACUAGCCUACAAAAGAAAUGAAAAACAGGCUGGGCGCGG